UGACCCCGGAAGUAUUCUCCCCUGACCCCGGAAGCACUUCCUGGGGCUCCUAUGAGGCUGGGGCCUGGGAAUGAGCCACCCGCCUGCCCCUACCCCCAGGUCUCUUGAGGGGAUGACGGCCUGGCUUUUCUACCUGUGGCUGUCCAGACCUGCGGCUGGCUCACUGCUCUGAGACAGGUUCCUGAUGUCCUCAUUCCUUGACCGUCAGUGGUGUCACCCCCAUCCCCAGGGGAAGCCAACUGCCCGGAGGUUCUGCCUGCUCCUCCCCAGCCCAGCGUCCAGCCCCCUUGGGACUUCCAGGAAGGCCUCAGCUCCAUCCCCAUGUCCCAUCCCUCUUCCUGCUGGUUUUGUUCACUGCUUAGCACCUACAGCCGUGCCUGCAGGCGGCAUAAUGAACAUUUGUUAGAUGAUUGGAGGCACUGCAUCCUUCACACGCCGGCUGAGCUCCAGUUGCCUGGAGGCGCUGUCAAAUGCAGAGGCUUCUGAGGGCUGCCUGCUGCCCACCCUGGGGCGAGCAAAGGCAUCCCAGAGGCAGGACUGUGCGGACAGCAAGCGCUUGGCGGGACUGUGGGCAGUUCAGACGCAGCACUCAGCAGCGCCCCCGGCUGGUCAGCACGGUCACCUGCGCCUCCUUCUAGGGAAGAUGAGCUCCCCGGGGCUGGCAGCGCUGUGGGCUCUGGUUUUACAGCUCAGGACUUCAGCCUGUGGCCUCCGCGGAAGCAGAGCACGCGCUGUGGCUUCUCCGAUUCCUCUUCACUCAAUGAGGCUCGCAGAAUGCAGAGCAGCGGCGCGCUUCAACCCCAUACCGAAAGCUUCAGUACCGUGGCCAGGAGGCGGAAUAAAAGAAGGAAAACCCGAGACAGACUAGGUGUCGGUGUGCGAGGGCUGCCCAGGACCCACAGAACAGCUGAGAAGCAAGAAUACUUCUUUCUUCUCUUUCCCUUUCAGUAGUAUUAGGAAAACCCAGGGCCUUCAUACCGAGCUACAUCCCUGGCCCUAAAACUUU
rnacentral:lncRNA from 1 species